AGGAAAGCAGGAUGAGUUUGUCCAGCUGCGUUUAAGGCUUGUCUGCCUGCUGAGGAACAGCACAGCACAUCCUUGCAGCUCUUACCUACAGAGUGAUGUGGUGCACUGGUAGAGGGCUUUGUCUUUAUUCACAACACAUUCAGUGUGCCUCGGCAGGGGAGGAAACAGCACUGGCAGCCUGUGCUCUGCCACCGUCUGCAGAAUAAACUGAACUCUAACUCACCAUUUAAGAGAAAGAGGGAAAGGUAAAGAGAGAAAGAGAGAGAAAGGGAUUUGCUCUCUGGCUUAUUCAUACAUUAGCUCUCUGCAAAGGCACAAAGCAGAAGGAGCAGCAUCAGCAACCUUGCAAGCAGUGACUCUGUUUCCAAUUAAUAUGGUCUGAGCUACUUUGAGAAGCCAAUUUAUUACUUACACAUAUCACACUUGAGCUUUGCUGAAAACUGGAUGUGCCAAGCACACCUUUGCUUCUGAUUUAUACGUAAAGACUUGCAUCUCUCACAGAGCAAACCUUAUCAGGAGAGAUUCAACCAAGGCAGGCUUUUAAUUGGGAAAUGGUUGUUCAUUUGGUGAAGUACAACAGUGAUUGUUGAGGCUGAAGUCCUGAACUCUCUCAAACAUUUUCAGAGUGGCAGGAGAUGGCACUUUCCUCACUGUCUCCUGCAGUGCAUCGUUGCAUCUUUUACUGGAGUGCCAGGCAGAAGACUGUGUAAGCCUGAAAAUAAAGGUAACGUGGAUAUAAACUUGGAGAAGAAGACCCAGUGUGGAACAAGCUGAGGACCACUCAGUUUUAUAUUUCUUCCUCUGGCGUUAAAGCUCCUCUGAUCCCAGAAAAGGUGCACUUUGGACCCAACCCCUGGAAUCACAUGUGCCGUGUCUGCUGGGACUUAUGACGAGUUAUGGACUCCCAGUGAUGCAGCUGGAGCAGAGCAGGCUGGGCUUGGCUUUUGCUGUCCCUUGGCUCCUGAGCAGGUGCCUGGUUUGCUGCACAGAGCACAACUGCAGGAAAAAAAUGCACUGAGAGGGAAGACUGCUCCCUUAAUGUUUCUCCUUGUUCUGUGGAUACCAUAAGAAUGCCAUGUUGGAUCCUUUCCUGUGUUAGCAGAAGCUGACAAUUCAAACAUAAUGAGCUGGGCCCCAGAACUGUGAAAGUAAACCAGUGCAGUAAGAGCAAUCUUUUAGUAAUAUUUUCUACACAGUUCAUUUUCUUUACAUUUCUUGAAAACUCAGACGUACUUUUCAGUUUUACUUCAAGAGCAUUAGGGCAGGAUCUAUUCAUAAGUUGCAUCUGCAGCCCUGCACCUGUCAUGCAGUUAGUCUUGGGGCACUGAGGCAUUAAUAUAAACUCAGCUGUGAGAUGUGGAAGAGCAAAAGUUGGUCCGAGUGUAUAAAAAUAAAAACAAUGUAAACACUUCUGUACUUCUGAGUUUAUCACUAGCUUUCUUAAAAUUUUCCCAGGAUGUUCAGCAGCCUGUGUGGUUGGGUAGUCAGGAAGGCAGUGUGUCCCAGGGUUCCCUGCUGAGGAUGAGGGGGCUCUUCCUGACUGGGGGUGCCAUUCCUGUGACUUGCCUGAGCCUUGGUUUCCCCAGCUGUGAACAGAGAGAGCACCUAUACAGCUUUGUGGACAUAAUAUAAGAACUGUGGGUCUUGAUGUGGAGCAUUUCAGUUAUCCAAAAAAACCCUGAGGGUCUUUAAGCCUCUAGGAUCAUUUCUUAGGAAAAUAUUAUAAAAAUCUAAACCCUAAUGUAGCCCAGCAAUGAAAUGUAAUUCUGAUUUAUGAUCAUAUGCUUGUUCUCAAAAGUUCUGAAGCUCCACUGUAAAAUUAUUCACAGAGAAGAAAUUUCCAUCAACAUUUUGUUGCAGUGCUUCAGAGACCACAAGAGCAAAGAAAAGCAGCUCUGCCUUGGAGUGGAAACCAAACAAGCCACAGGUGUCCAAGGGGAGCUGCAAUUGGAGCAGGGUUUGUUGGCAGGGGCUAGCAGGUGUCCAGAGUUAGGCUGAGCUGUUCCUUACACAACCAGCUGGGUAGAGAGUCAAUAAACACGUUCUUGUGUUCAGGUGAGAGGGAUUAGUUGGGGCUCAGUUUGCCAGUCCUCCACAGAGGGUGAGGGCAGCACGUGGCAGUGUGGGGUCUGUCCCUGCCCCACGAACCCCCUCUCUCCUGGCAACUGCAGUGGCUCCUUGGGUCUGUCAGAAUGUUUUGCCACUGCUGAGUUGUGAGGAAUAGCCUGGAAAAACAUGGGAGUGCUGGAGCUGCUUCUGGGAAAAGAAUUUCUUAGGUCCCCCUGGCUCAAAAAAAGGUAAAAAUGGCACCUGGAUGGUCUUAGUUGAUUUGUUUGUAUUUGGCUUGGUCUAAAAGCUGCUCUCAGUAGAUGAGUUGGCAUUUUUCUGUGCUGUUUUGACUUU